CCUUUCUGCGAAAAGUAAAUAAAUCAAAAACAAAACCAAAGCAAAACAAAAACCCCACAUUGCCGAAGAUGAGAAAAAUUGGAAUCCCUUAUCUUGCUAGUGGGGCUGUGAAACAGGGAAGGCACUGGGGAACAGUGUGGCAACUUUUGCUAGCAUAAAUACAGUAUUAUCAUCUGACCCAGCAACUCCGCUGCUUGGUAUGUAUUUAAGGGACUCGACAGCAAAAGUUCAAACAAGAACUUGUACACAAAACUUGUUCACGGCAGCACCAUUCACGAUAGCAAAAGAUGGAAAUGAGUCCCACACCCAGUUCAACUCAACCUCACUGUUCAGUUCACA